rnacentral:rRNA from 1 species
UAUUGGACAAUGGGCGGUAGCCUGAUCCAGCCAUGCCGCGUGCAGGAAGAAUGUCCUAUGGACUGUAAACUGCUUUUGUACGGGAAGAACCGGGGGCACGCGUGCCCCCCUGACGGUACCGUAAGAAUAAGGAUCGGCUAACUCCGUGCCAGCAGCCGCGGUAAUACGGAGGAUCCGAGCGUUAUCCGGAAUCAUUGGGUUUAAAGGGUCCGUAGGCGGGCGUCUAAGUCAGUGGUGAAAUCCCGCGGCUCAACCGUGGAAUUGCCAUUGAUACUGGUCGCCUUGAAUGGUCGUGAAGUGGCUAGAAUAUGUGGUGUAGCGGUGAAAUGCUUAGAUAUCACAUAGAAUACCGAUUGCGAAGGCAGGUCGCUAACGACGCAUUGACGCUGAUGGACGAAAGCGUGGGGAGCGAACAG